UACGUAGGGGGCUAGCGUUGUCCGGAAUCAUUGGGCGUAAAGAGCGUGUAGGCGGCUCGGUAAGUCCGCUGUAAAAGUCAAAGGCUCAACCUUUGAAUGUCAGUGGAUACUGCCGGGCUAGAGUCCGGAAGAGGCGAGUGGAACUCCUGGUGUAGCGGUGGAAUGCGCAGAUAUCAGGAAGAACACCAACGGCGAAGGCAGCUCGCUGGGACGGUACUGACGCUGAGGCGCGAAAGCCAGGGGAGCGAACGGG
rnacentral:rRNA from 1 species